rnacentral:rRNA from 1 species
GAUGAACGCUGGCGGCGUGCCUAAUACAUGCAAGUCGAGCGAACAGACGAGGAGCUUGCUCCUCUGACGUUAGCGGCGGACGGGUGAGUAACACGUGGAUAACCUACCUAUAAGACUGGGAUAACUUCGGGAAACCGGAGCUAAUACCGGAUAAUAUAUUGAACCGCAUGGUUCAAUAGAGAAAGACGGUUUUGCUGUCACUUAUAGAUGGAUCCGCGCCGCAUUAGCUAGUUGGUAAGGUAACGGCUUACCAAGGCAACGAUGCGUAGCCGACCUGAGAGAAUGAACGGCCACACUAAGACUGAGACACGGUCCAGACACCUACGGGAGGCAGCAGAAGGGAAACUUCCGCAAUGGGCGAAAGCCUGACGGGGCAACGCCACGUGAGUGAUCAAGGUCUUCGGAUCGUAAAACUCUGUUAUUAGGGAAGAACAAGUGUAUAAGUAACUAUACACGUCUUAACGGUACCUAAUCAGAAAGCCACGGCUAACUACGUG